UACGGAGGGUGCAAACGUUGCUCGGAAUCAUUGGGCGUAAAGCGCACGUAGGCGGCCUUGAAAGUUGGAUGUGAAAGCCCAGGGCUCAACUCUGGAAGUGCAUCCAAAACUUCUCGGCUUGAGUCCCGGAGGGGCCCAGAGAAUUCCCGGUGUAGAGGUGAAAUUCGUAGAUAUCGGGAGGAAUACCAGUGGCGAAGGCGCUGGGCUGGACGGGUACUGACGCUGAGGUGCGAAAGCGUGGGGAGCAAACAGG
rnacentral:rRNA from 1 species